CUUUCCGUCGAUCCAAUCAAUCAGUCAAUGACUAUUGAGUCAGUCCGAACAAAUAUUUUUAUAUAUACAGAAUAGAAUUCUCAAACUUAAGUUCAUUUUAAUCAAAAUUUUACAGUUAUGUAAGCUGAUUACGUAUAGCUAAUUAGCAUAUGUAUGGAGCCAGCAACAAAAGUCGACGACUAAGUAUAUAAUUGAGGAGUAUCCAAGUCGGAAAAGAUCGGCAUGGCUAUAUUGACUUUAUGGGGUCGGAUAUGCCUCCUGUUACAAAAAAUGAAUAUACCCGUUAUGACACAUUUUCAAUGCGUACAGGAUAUACGAAAAAUAAUGUUAUAUAAUAAAAACAUAUUAUAUUAUUUAAUUUCGUCUAAUGAAAUCUUUUAUAAAUGUUUAUUUAACUAGGGAGCAUGAUGCCCAUAUGGCCAUAUCUAAUUCGAAUUAAGCCACGUCCAAUUACUGCAGUUUCUGGCAUUAUAAAAACUUUUUGCACAAGUUUUUCCGUGUUAGUUUAAAACACUUGCAGAAAUGAAAGUUAUAUUUGGAAUAUUACUACUUGCAAUUGUAACGAACAUUUUCACAGCCGAAGGGUACGAUAAUGUGGAAAGUCUUAGUUCACUAGAAGACAAUCAGAUUGCAGAUCUCCAACUCAAGGAUUCAUACGAGCAAGAUCUAUCUGACAGUAGCAAUGGUCGAAUACAGAACGAGGAUUCAUUACAAAAUAAGCAACGUGGAUUUUUAGGAAUUUUAAAAAAAAUUUGGAAAAGGAUUUUGAAUUUUUUUAGACCUAAGCCAAAGCCAUCUCGAAGACCCAGGCAAAGGCCAAGGCCAAAACCCAAGCCAAGGCCAAAGCCAAGGCCAAGGCCACGGCCGAAGCGAUCCACACCCAAACCGUAACGACCCAAGCCGACGUUAACAAACCCCAAAACUGACAAAACCAACAAAGAAACCCAGCCCGACGACAAAAAAAACCAAUGAAAGCAAAAAAGAAGAAAGCAAAAUAAUAAAGGAGUCGGAUACACAACUGAAGAAUCCACAAUAUUAUUUUAUGAAUCUACUGCGGCGAUGAAAAUUUUUAAAGUUUGACCGAACCUAACACUACUUCAAACCUGAAAAAUAUCAUAUUUGCCAUAAUAAAAAUUGUAUCCUGGCAACUACCUUUGUGUAGCGUGAAGAUGA